GUGUGCUGAAUCGGAAAAAUAUGCAGCCAAGAAUUCUUUAUCCAGCAAGGCUGUCAUUCAAAAUAGAAGGAGAGAUGAAAAAGUUUCCCAGACAAACAGAAACUAGAGGAGUUUGUGACCACGAAACCAGCCAUAUAAGAAAUUUUAAGUGGGACUCUUUAAGUGUAGAAAAAAAUAAAGACCAAAAGCAACAGAGA